rnacentral:rRNA from 2 species
UAGGGAAUAUUGCUCAAUGGGGGAAACCCUGAAGCAGCAACGCCGCGUGGAGGAUGAAGGUUUUCGGAUUGUAAACUCCUUUUGUUAGAGAAGAUAAUGACGGUAUCUAACGAAUAAGCACCGGCUAACUCCGUGCCAGCAGCCGCGGUAAUACGGAGGGUGCAAGCGUUACUCGGAAUCACUGGGCGUAAAGAGCGCGUAGGCGGGGUAGCAAGUCAGAUGUGAAAUCCUAUGGCUUAACUAUAGAACUGCAUUUGAAACUGUUACUCUAGAGUAUGGGAGAGGUAGGUGGAAUUCUUGGUGUAGGGGUAAAAUCCGUAGAGAUCAAGAGGAAUACUCAUUGCGAAGGCGACCUGCUGGAACAUUACUGACGCUGAUGCGCGAAAGCGUGGGGAGCAAACAGG